GGCAGCAGGGCUGGGAGACAGCCCUGAGCGAGCUAGGAAAACUGGAAUGGAUGGUGGACUGGGAAUGAGCCAGACUCACAAAAACUCUGAUGGAACCCUU